GUCGAGCGGCAGCGCGGGGGCAACCCUGGCGGCGAGCGGCGAACGGGUAGUAAUACAUCGGAACGUGUCCUUGAGUGGGGAUAGCUCGGCGAAAGCCGGAUUAAUACCGCAUAAGCUCUGAGGAGAAAGCGGGGGAUUCGCAAGGACCUCGCGCUGUUGGAGCGGCCGAUGUCGGAUUAGCUAGUUGGUGGGGUAAAGGCCCACCAAGGCGACGAUCCGUAGCUGGUCUGAGAGGAUGAUCAGCCACACUGGAACUGAGACACGGUCCAGACUCCCACGGGAGGCAGCAGUGGGGAAUUUUGGACAAUGGGGGCAACCCUGAUCCAGCCAUUCCGCGUGAGUGAAGAAGGCCUUCGGGUUGUAAAGCUCUUUCGGACGGAACGAAAUGGUUAGGCCUAACACGCCUGACUGGUGACGGUACCGUAAGAAGAAGCACCGGCUAACUACGUGCCAGCAGCCGCGGUAAUACGUAGGGUGCGAGCGUUAAUCGGAAUUACUGGGCGUAAAGCGUGCGCAGGCGGCGGCUCAAGUCAGGUGUGAAAUCCCCGGGCUUAACCUGGGAAUUGCGCUUGAAACUAGGCUGCUUGAGUGUGGCAAAGGGGGGUGGAAUUCCACGUGUACAGUGAAAUGCGUAGAGAUGUGGA
rnacentral:rRNA from 1 species